AUUAUAGAUUCCAGAGGAAGUACAUGUUUUUCAAGAUUCUACAAGGAGAGUUGCCUGUAAUAAACUUGGAAAUCUUUAUUCUUUAAAAACAUGAUCCUUUUUUUACCAGCGCUGUUCUAAAGGACUCGUGAUUACAUUGACUCACCUGGAUAAUUCAGGAGACUCCCUAUUUUAAGGCAAGAGAGCCAAGCCAGUAAUCGGGAGCUAAAGGCAG